UACGUAGGGGGCAAGCGUUGUCCGGAAUCAUUGGGCGUAAAGAGCGUGUAGGCGGUUCGGUAAGUCGGCUGUGAAAGUCCAGGGCUCAACCCUGGGAUGCCGGUCGAUACUGCCGGACUAGAGUUCGGAAGAGGCGAGUGGAAUUCCUGGUGUAGCGGUGAAAUGCGCAGAUAUCAGGAGGAACACCGAUUGCGAAGGCAGCUCGCUGGGACGUUACUGACGCUGAGACGCGAAAGCGUGGGGAGCAAACAGG
rnacentral:rRNA from 1 species